UAUGCUUUCUUUUGUGCUUUUUUGAGUUUCCUGAGUUUAUUUUCUGCAGUAAUACACGUCGAAAUUGGUACAACGUCGAAUUUAACAUUCAUCAUCGUCUUUGUAGUCGUCGGAGUAUUAUUCCUGUUUUGGUUCUGCAUUUAUGCAUCUUAUCAAGUUCUUUAUCAACACAGGCAAGUAAUGAUAGAAGAAAAUAUAACAAGUAUAUGAGAAGCCGGUAUAGGAUGUUUGGCAAACAAUAAUGGGACGAAGUAAAUGCUCUCAGGAUGUGCCAGUAAAUCACAAUGAAAUAACAUCUGAACCCAGUACCUGCUUAGUGGAACAAGAAAAUCUAAACCAUUACGACUUACAACAAAAUUUCACUUUCUUUUCUCUCUAAUUUUUGCAAACCCUAUAUACUUACCUUUCAUUUGUAUGUUCAAAACAACUGAUAAAUGCCUGAUUAAACACAUGUACCUAUGUUUUUAUUAUGUAUCCAAAGACGCCUUGAUUUUUUACUGAAAGGUGUAAAAUAAGAAAAAUAAAUGU